CAAGAAAGAUUAUUUAGUGAAGUAGGCUAAUGGUGUUGCAGAGGAAGGGGGCUGAUUUUCACAUCUCAGAACUGUUAAGCCUGCAAAUAUUACUGAAAUCACAUCUGGGAACAAAGCUCUGCUUUAACCAGCACAAAGAGAGGUGCUGCAUCCUGGAGCACGGGCACAAGCAUCUGAGCACCAGAACUGCCAACAUCUGUCUCUGGAUUUCACAGCAAGGAAUGAGAGAAGAAGAAAUCUUCCCUAUCAGCAGCAGCAGGGGUUGCUGCAGCAAGAUGAUAAUUCCCUCCUGCUACUCUGCUGACAAGCACCAAGCUGCACAGGAAGAGCAAAGCAUUUUAAUCACGGGAUUGAAAAAUGCAGCAGUUCUAAAGCUUCACCUUACCUUGGCUGAUUUACAUUAAUUUAGGAUCAACUGGCUUUCAGAGGAAUAAUCCAUGGAAGAUAACAGGGGAGAAAAAAUUUGUUGGAACUUCUAGUUUCCCUGUGCAUAACAUGCAAGGAUCUAUGUAUAUAAACAGUUUUGGAGCACCUUAGAUGAGCAAGGAUUAUUGAAUUCCUUAAAAUCACAGUGCAAAGUUGGGGGGUCCCUAAUUCCAUACUAAGUGUUUUUUAAGUGCCACACUUUCAAAUACACAGCAUUAAAGGGAUUUAAAAAAAACACAUCAGAAACUGGAUUCAGGGUCCAAUCCAGUGUCCACUGGAACCACCAAAAAUCCUGUGACAGAGGCCUUGAGGUUUUGGCUCUGGCUCUUUCAUCAGAUUAUCAUUUAUAACAAAGGCAAUCCAUAAGGAGCUGCUAAGACAAAUGCAAAUCUUGUGUCAAAGACAGUCAGACACCCCCCCCCCCCCCCCAAAAAUUAAAAAUUUGAGCACACAGCAGCUUCCAGGCAGCAGCUUUGGGCAUGUGGCACAACAUCUGCUGCAAAAACACUCGAAAGCAGACCUGCGGCAAGCUGGAGCGGCGCCAGCUCCCAGAUUAUCCCCCCUCCAAGGCUGCCAAGGCAAUGGACAGAUGGCAGCCAGUGCACUCACAGGAUAGUUAGCUCAGUUAACAAUCAAGUAUGCUAAAUGAUUUCAGAUUCACUCUGCACCAAGCAUUGUACUUUCCAGUGAACCAUUAACACUGUGUCCUAAUAGAAAUAUGGUUUGGUAUGAAGGAACUGGCAGAUCCUGUAUUUUACAAGACAGUUUCUCUGGAACAAUUUGUCAGGGAACAUUAGAUCUGCCUUCAUGAAUAAAGUGAGAAUCUGCCAAGUUUGCCAGGCGGGUUUGUUCAUCAUUUGAAUUCUGCAGGGUUUGAGGAGUGAGGAUGGAAACAAACAGGAGGAUGCAGGUCAGAUAUCCACACAAGCUGCUGCCAGGGAUGCACUCAGUGGAAAGCAGGAGGGUGUUGGGAGCACACAGGAUCUCCCAUCACAGCAGCUGUGCCCCUGCAGUGCUGCCUGCCUGCUGUAGGGCAUAACAGAGUUCUCCUGCACUGGACAGCUAUCACAAGCAGCCUGCUGGUGACACACUUGUCACCCGAAUGCACAGAUGUGACAACUCAUCCCAGAAAAGCUACAGGUUCUUGGGUUUAAAUGGGUAAAAUCUGUAAAGAAAAUUUGGCCCCCAUAUAUCAAGGGGGCAAAUAAUUCACUACUGAGCACUAGCACAUAGCAUGUAGGUGGACUAUGGCCUCAGCAUUACAAGAUACAUCCUUAAAUUCUUCCUCCUUAUGGUUAGAUAUCAUUGCCUUUAAGGACAUUUGUAGACCUAGUGACAAAUUUAUUCUAUUGAUUUGCCUUUCCAUAAAUCAGGAGGUCAAGAAUAGUGUUUGAAAAAAAAAAUGUUGGUUUCUUCUCCCACCUCCACUCUCUGCUCCUGUUGCAUAUCCCUUUUAUCUCUCCACCCAAAAUCCCAUGUAGCUAAACAGCUGGUCAAAAGUGUAAUACAAUUUAUUUAUUACGUAGCUGGCUGCCAUUACCGUUUUAUUCAUCAUUGUUGCACCUAAUAAUUACCCUGAGAAAAUACACACCACCAGCCCUUUUCUGCCUGCAUUGGAAAAAUCCAACAGCAGAAAACAGGGGAGAAACCCAAGAAAAACAAGUGGAAAAAUAGAAGGACAGAGAAGAGAGAGAACUUAGUGAGCUCUGUUGGAGGAGGUAGGAGUUGUGCCAUGGAUACCAGAAAAGCAGCACCUCACACUUCCUAUCUGUUAUCUCAGUUGCAAAGAGUAGGACUGAAGCAAACUGGAAAACCUGAAGCAUUUCUAGUGGGCAGCCAACAAAUGAGUUCCCCACACAGCCAGGUGAGAGCAGCAGCUUCUGACCAGCGCAGUGAAGCCUUGUGCUUUGGACUCAGAGCUCUCCCAGGGCACAGGGCUCGUUCUGCUGCAGCUGCUGAGCCCAGAGCAGCGGCAUUGCAUGGUGCAGGGCUGCAGGAACCCCCAACAACGCUGGGCCUGCCUGCUGUGCCUGAGAGAGCAUCACACAGGGGCUCAUCUCAGCCCAGAGCAGCUGCAUUGCAUGGUGCAGGGCUGCAGGAACCCUCCAGCAAUGCUGUGCCUGCAUUGCUCAGUGAGAGAGCAUCACACAGGGGCUCAUCUCAGCCCAGAGCAGCUGCAUUGCAUGGUGCAGGGCUGCAGGAACCUUCCAGCAAUGCUGUACCUGAGAGAGCACCACAGAGAUGCUCAUCUCUGCCCAGAGCAGCUGCAUUGCAUGGUGCAGGGCUGCAGGAACCUUCCAGCAAUGCUGUGCCUGCUUUGCUGAAUGAAAGGGCAUCACUCAAGUGCUCAUCACUGCCCAGAGCAGCUGCAUUUCAUGGUGCAGGGCUGCAGGAACCCCUUGCUCAGUGAAAGGGCAUCACAAGCUCUGCUCACUCUCCCUUUCUGCUCUGACACCAGUUUCCCUCAGAGACAUUCACAGGGCAUUGCCAAAGUCAUACCAGGAAAAUCAGCACCAGCAGGCAAGAACUCCUAUUCCCUGCUCUCCCCAUUCCAACAUGGAAAGGUGUCACAGAAAUAUCAGAGCAAGAGCUCUGCCAGAGCAUGGAGCUCCUCAGCUGUCCUCCCUGCAGCUCUGCUCUCUCUUGAGGAGGCAAUGUUGUGACCCCAGUGUGUGAUCACCAGAGCAGGGAGUCAGAGAUGCAAUUUAAAAAAAAAAAUCAAGAGCAAACUGGUUAAAAAUGGAGACAGAAGCAACCUCAUUUUCUGGCUCAACUUUAUGAAAAUCUGAUUAGACCUCAGUGAAAUUUAAUCUUUGCCUUCCAGACCUUCUGAGACAACAAUAAAGAUCUCCUGAGCUCAUAAAGUACCCAGAGAGGAGAGAUACCACCCAGCCAGGAAAAUAGCUGCAAAAAAUUAUUUUUCUUGGCCCUAAUCACCAGGUAAAUCUGCAAAACAUGUCAUUAAAAAGUAAAUUAUAAAAAGCUGUGUGUCACUAUUUUCAAAUACAAGAAUACACUUUAUCAAAGUAAUAAAAUAAUAUGAAAAAGACAAGACAAAUUAGCUACAGCAAUAAUCAGGAAUGCCAGACAUUCAGAAGAGAGUAUUUGUUCAAAUUGCUAAGAUAGCCAAGAGACAGAAAAUUUGACUCCCAGCAGUCCCACAGUGCUAAUAUUUCUUUCUCCAUUUUUCCUACCACAAAUUUACAGCAAAAACAAAACUACCAGAUAUAUUUUUAUAUUAUCAGCCCUUCCCCAGAACAAUUCUGCUUCAAAACCACUCAUUAAGCUGGAACUGGCAAAACCCAAAGUUCCAGCCUUCUAUUCUCAUCCAGAGGAUCCACAUUUCUCCAUGUCCUUGUAACAGCUGUUCCUACGUUGCCUCAUGAGACAAAGAAAUAUGGGAAUUUUUUUGACUUUCCUCGAAACAUUUUUACUUUCAUGGACAGAUAAUACAUGGAGCCAUUAGCCCCCAGUGGUCUCACAGCCAAACCUUUCCUGCUUGGGGCUGCUGAGCCCACCACAAGCCAUGUUUUGCUGGCACAGUGUAACAUCAAUGUUGUAGGAUUUUCUGGUUUAUCUGGAUUCUUGCAAUGCUCUGCUCACAGUCCAACAAGAUCAGCUUUUUCAGCUUGCAGGAAAGAAAGCAAGCAAUUCUUACCAAAGUACAGCAGUCUGGGAAAUGAAAACAGAAAGGGAAAAACCAGACAUGAAUGGGUGGUAAAAUUGUAUUUGCAAUCUUCUCCUCUAAUGAUGUAGUGCAGCAGCCAUCUCCAACCAACUCAUCAUACCACACAAAGUGAUAUGUGCAGGAAAUGUUAAAUAUUAAAGAAACAAACAGAUGCUAAAAAAAUCCUAAACUAUGGGGCGUGCAGAGCCAAAAUAAUUGGGAUAAUGUGCAUGUACUGAGUUAAAAACUAGAGGAUGGUAGAUUAUAUAUACAUGUGUGUGUGUGUAUAUAUAUCUAUCAAUCAUCUAGGAACUCAAUUUAAUUUUUGCAUGCACUGAUUCCCCCAUGUCCUUAUUGUUGCUUAUAGAAUCCUUCCCUUACUAAUUCCAUGUCUCAUACAGUCAUGCAACAAAAACAUGGUUAUGUUGUAUAUAGUUACCCAGCAGAAUGUCUGUGGAAUAAAGUUUGCUGAUUAAAAUCCUAUUUUAAUCAUGCAAUUAAAAAGUCUACAGUAA